UUUCUUGAAUAAAUACUCCUAGGAUUACUGCAAGCCUUUGGUUAAUUUCCAGGGAUCUGAAAAAGUUGGUUCUGAUAAUUUUUGCAAGUUUUCUUAUUGCUUUUAUGGAGGAGAGAAUUUAUGGAGGUCCUUAGUCCACUAUUUUUUACUGACACUACCCUUGUGUUAGUAACAUUUUUUAGCCUUAAUCUGAAUGAUAUUAAAAAUUUUGUCAUGUCUUUGUUGCUUUUAAGAUAUCAUACAUCUGCAUCAUUUUCCUUGUGUGUCAACUACGUGAAUCCUGUUAAAGGAGGAAAUGAGGAUUUUUCCAAGAACUUACGGAAAGCUACUGAGUGAGCCGUUUGUAGAAUAGGAAAAGCAGUUUUGCUCUUGCAGACACUAGAUAGCACUUCAACACUGCACCUGGGGGCUGUUUUAAACAGUGAAAUUACCAACAAAAACCACAAAAAUGCAAAUAACAUGGCACUAAAUAGACAGAAGAAGGACACUUGUUGACAGUAUGAGAGCUGAACUGUGAAGGCAGAUGUUGCCUAAUUCAACCUCCACUGAACACGUAUAUGUUGGACGACUCAAAAACUUUCCUGCUCUUUGCACGUCCUUGAAUAACCAUAAAAUACCUUGGGUAUUGAUUUGGAGGGUGAGAAAAUAAAUUUUUAUCUAGUAAAAUUUGCAAAUACAGAGUCUGCGAAUAAUAGUUUCAUUUGGUGUGACUAGUAUCUUUUCCAAGCAGUGGAGGGGCCUUCCCUGUAUUACCCUGUGGUCUGCAAUGACUUGAUAUUAUCAGGCUGACACUUGUCAUCUCCUUUUGGGACUUAGCGUUGCCUACUGUUUUUGACCAUAGUUCUAUUCAGCUUCUUCUGCCUUUGGUUUAUGUCCCUUUGGAGCCCAAGCUCAUCUUGCACAGUCAUAUUCUUCCUCAGGUAACUUUUUCCCCCUCUAUUUCUUGGGAUCAUCUGCACUUGCAUCGUUAGAAUUUCACCCUGGGGGCUCUUCUGAAGUUCAUUUGAACCAUCUUUCUUCUUAGCAUCCCUGGACAAUGGACAUAGCCUUUGAAUCUCAAAGUGUUUUGAGUCUGCUUUCCUAAAGUUUGGGUUUUCAAGUGGAGGUGCACAUCUAAGUCACCUGUGGGGUUUUUAAAACACAGUGACAUUGGCCUUGCCCCAAACCAACUGAGUCAACAAUUGCAAAGGGGUGUAGUCUAUGUAUAGAUGUGUUUAAAAACUUUCCACAGGUAAUUCUGAUCUGUGGGUGGGGAGGGGUUUGCGAGCCAGUUGUAUUGAGAGCUGUGGUAAAGUUGACAAUGGUUAAAAUGAUAACCAUCAAAACUACCACCAUCAACGUUUAUGGUACCUUUACCAGGUGUCAGGCUCCUUAUUAAGCUGUUUGUAUGUUUUAAUACAAUCCCUGGGCAUAGAUACAUGCUUUGA